rnacentral:rRNA from 1 species
AAGUCGAGGGGCAGCACGAAAAGCUUGCUUUUUUGGUGGCGACCGGCGCACGGGUGCGUAACGCGUAUGCAACCUACCCUGUACUGGAGGAUAGCCCGAAGAAAUUCGGAUUAAUACUCCAUAGUAAUACAAUUUCGCAUGUUAUUGUAUUUAAAGAUUACGGUACAGGAUGGGCAUGCGUCCCAUUAGCUAGAUGGUAAGGUAACGGCUUACCAUGGCAACGAGUGGUAGGGGGCCCUGAGAGGGUGAUCCCCCACACUGGUACUAAGACACGGACCAGACUCC